rnacentral:rRNA from 1 species
GGAUGCGAUCAUACCAGCACUAACGCACCGGAUCCCAUCAGAAAUCCGAAGUUAAGCGUGC